rnacentral:rRNA from 1 species
CAGCCGCCGCGGGAAUACGAAGGGGGCUAGCGUUGCUCGGAACGACUGGGCGUAAAGGGCGCGUAGGCGGUUUUGACAGUCAGAUGUGAAAUUCCUGGGCUUAACCUGGGGGCUGCAUUUGAGACGUCAAGACUAGAGUGUGAGAGAGGGUUGUGGAAUUCCCAGUGUAGAGGUGAAAUCCGUAGAUAUUGGGAAGAACACCGGUGGCGAAGGCGGCAACCUGGCUCAUUACUGACGCUGAGGCGCGAAAGCGUGGGGAGCAAACAGGAUUAGAUACCCCGGUAGUCCCUGUCUCUUAUAC